GGCCAGGCCGAAUGGUUACGCUGUCCGCUUAGUUAGUAGAAGAUCGUGGGAUCGAUUCCCAUCUGCUCC
rnacentral:tRNA from 1 species